rnacentral:misc_RNA from 1 species
GAUGAAGAACGCAGCGAAAUGCGAUACUUGGUGUGAAUUGCAGAAUCCCGUGAACCAUCGAGUCUUUGAACGCAAGUUGCGCCCGAAGCCACUAGGCCGAGGGCACGCCUGCCUGGGCGUCACACGCCGUUGCCCCCCCAUCUACUCCUUCGGGAUUGCGGGGGGGCGGAUGAUGGCCUCCUGUGCGCCUAGCCGCGCGGUUGGCAUAAACACCAAGUCCUCGGCGACGCACGCCACGACAAUCGGUGGUUGCGAAACCUCGGUUGCCCGUCGUGUGCGUUCGUCGCGCAUCGAGGGCUCGAAAAAAUGCUCGGCUCCGGCUGGGCUUUCAACGCGACCCCAGGUCAGGCGGGGUUACCCGCUGAAUUUAAGCAUAUCAAUAAGCGGAGGA